AAAAAUCAAUAAAAUAUAUUUUUAAAAAAAAAGCUCUGUGAGCAUAUGUGUUUUGUUUUGUUCCUGAGGAGAAGGUUCCUGACUUAGAGAGAGCAGUCAGUAACCCACUCAGGAUUAGGAACCACAGUUCUAGUCAACCUCUCAUUUGACAGGAUGAGGAGACCCAUCUUGGCCUAGGGUCACAAAGAACCAAGAUUUAAUGCAUAGCCCUGGAUUCCUCUGGUCCAGGAAUCUCCUGUGCUCACCCACACCAGCCUGUUGUAUUGACCUCUGAUGACACAUUUGAAUCAUAUGCCAGACUCAAACCAAGGUAAAUUUCUAUCUUGUUAGAAUUUUAGGGUAAUUGAGUUAGGUGGCAACUAGUGGCCAAUUUAUUUUUUGCCUGUUUGUGUCAUUUAAAAAAGAAUCUAGCAUGUGCUCAUUAAAAGAUUUGGAAAAGUGGAAGAAAACAGCAACAAAUUCACUCCUAGUCUCAACGUUCUUAAACAUAGCCACUAAUGGUAUUUUAGUAUUUCUUUUAGUCUCUCUGUAGAUAAGGUGUGUGAUUGGGUUUAACUUUGGUUGUACUCAUGCUGUGUAUUUUAUAUUAUGCUUUUUUUUCAUUUAAUACCUUAUAAAUAUUUUUAUGUAAAUAAAAUUUGAAAAAUAAAGGUAGAAAGAAGA